AUGUAAUAAUUAUGAGAAUAACAAGUAUCCAAAUUAUUAUACCCCAACAUUAUGUUGGUCUGAGUAAAACUGAAUUCAGAUUCCUUUAAAAUCUCAUGUUCAUAUCUUGUGGAGAAUAACAUUAUGUUGGAACUUGGAAGCCAUUUGAUAGUUGGAGAGGAUGUUGAAAUUGGUGUUAUUCGCAUAAGUCACUUUUCUCACUAUGAUAUGCCAAAAAACACAAAAAGUUGUUCAAUGCUAACCAAUCCUUUAGAAAAAAGAAAAAAAGAAAAAAAGAAGUGUUGUUUUAUCAAACAGCAUAAAUGCAUACUUUUUUUUUUACUCAAGCAUAAAUGCAUACUUUUUUUUUUACUCAAGCAUAAAUGCAUACUUAAACCAAGCUAAACUUGAACACAAACUAGAUUACAAAGAGGCCACACAAACAAUAAUAACAAUACUACCACUUGCGCGUGACUGUGCUUAGGACUGUUCAUGGUUCUUUUCUGCUUAGGACUGUGCUUAUUGACACAAUAUUGUGCUGCACUGUGCAGAGCCAUUGAAUCUAAGAGAUAAAUUCAAACAGCUUUGUAACAUGCUGUACAGUGUAGCCGCUGGAAAGGACCCAAAUCCAUCCUGACACAUGAAAUUGGAAGGGUGGUGUGGGGGGUGAGUGAUGGAUUACCCAAAUAUCACAUCUUGGAUCAUUGAGGAAGUUACAAUAAAACAAGGCAUUGUGUGAUCCAAAUGAGAAGAGCCUGUUGGUGAGGUUCUCGGCUAGAAUAUUCACAAUAUAGAAAUAGAAUAACAGUAUAUAUUGAAAGGAAAACAAUAUUAAGUUAUUGGAAGAACAACGUAAUGGAGAUCUACAAUCAGAGUUUAAACAUUGUUUUCAUGGGAAAUAUGAAAAUAUCUAAGUAAAGGAGUCCACUAGACAUGAAUAGAUUAAAUUUGAUUCUCUCUAUGCUUCAUAGAACAGUAGAAGAAAGAGAAAAGAUGCACAUGAUGAAAUUAGUGUUAAAAUCACAAAAUAAAUGCUCCAAUAAAGGAUUUGUGUAAAAAUUACAAUAACCACAAAUAUUUAAUGACUUCCAUUACAAGAUUUGGCUAUCUUGUUUGAGAAAUAUUCAUAUUUGUUAGUUUUCUUAAUGCUUUAUUUGUAUUCAAACUUUUUUCAUUUAUGUUUUCAUUCAACAAAAACUAUAUAUAUUAUUUGUGCCACAUGAUCAUGAUGUCAUAAAUUUUAAUCCUACCAAUAAAAUAUUUGUGAUCAAAUUUGCUUUUCAUUUUGGUUGCAGAUUAUAUACUCUGGUUAUACUUGCACCCAGGGUUGGUUCUUCACACCUUGCUCGAGUGAGCCAGGUUUAAGGUAUAAACUAUUUCAACUAAAGGAGUUCAUCUUUAUGAUAUAAAUUAGUACAAACUAAAAGUUCUUGCAUGUUAUAUUGCCUUUUGAUUUUUCUAUAAGGUCAUGAUUCUUGGUUAAUAUUUUGUAUGAGAAGUAUUAAUAGAGAGAAACAUUCAUCAUUCUUGAUGAAUCUGUAACUGAAUUUCUAUAUAUCGAAAAGUGAUUACAAUGAGUGUAGACUUCAACUUAUAUAGAUGCUGAAAGCUUGACCUGUUAUAGAAGGUCACUCCUAACGUUUGCCUGGCAGCUGUCAACUAAUGACAGCUGGCUAUAACUAACUAAGUGAGUUUGUUAUUCCUAAUUACCACGUGGGCAAAAGCAACAAGCCUAACUUUGAGAGCAAUUGCAAGGAAUAUUGAAAUACAGAAAACUUUAAUGUCUAAUAAGUAUGUUCAUAACUUCACCCGAUCAUAUAAUAUAACAUAACAUAUGGAGAAUGAUAAUGAACGUGCAGUUUCCACUCCUGGAGAGCAGCAAGUGCCAGCCGACCUCAAAACUGAGAUAUUGGGAUGACUGCUAUUUGAAUUAUUAAGAUAUAUACCAAAUAUUUUUAUACUAAAUAUAUAUAAAUAGUUAUUUGUAGGCAAAACUAUACCAUGAUUUAAAGUUUAAGUUUCAAGAAGGUCCUUCAUAUUUUUUCUUGUCAUGUUGGUCCUGCAUUUAAAAAUGUCAACAAUGUUAGACCAA
rnacentral:lncRNA from 1 species